AAUGGAACGUGGGCGUAUUCCAAAUUUGUUUAAAAAUCGAUCAAUAUGCACUGGCACUGCGCCAAAGCUGACUAAUACUUGAAGUGUUGGCGCGGCGCAUCCCCCCCCGAAGUGGCGCGCCGACUAAAGGUGCUCAGGGACCGCGUACCUU
rnacentral:sRNA from 1 species